GCCAAGGAAGACAGGACUCAGUGUGGCAAGGCCCUCCGGGUGCUGCUCUGUGAGGAUUCCCUCACAAAGAGCAGUGGCGACUCUCUCAAGCUGCAGUCCCUGGGUCCUCCCACACCAGCCCAGAGACAGUCCUGGAGGCAGCUACAGCAUGCCCAGGAUGGCCCUGCUCCCUGGCUUUGAUGAAGGGUAUCGAGGACGUUGAGAACAGUGAUGGACAGACAGCAGGACCCGCUGGCUGAUGCUGUCCUGGUCAUGGUGAGGUGCUGCCAGGCCUGUCUGUCACUCAGGAAGUGGGGAUGAAGGGCAGCAACGGUCCAGGACGCAGAGAAUGAUCUCAUCUUGUCAGUUUAAAAUCAAAUGUUUCAGUAGCUUGGCAGCAGACAUGCAGGACUCGGUAAUUCACUCAAGGACAGGGCUCAAGAUGCAAAGAGUGGGAGGAAUGGGAGCCUGGAGGUGGGCUGGGCAUGGAUGAGGGCUGGAACUGGGGCCUGGUCCUCCCUUCCCCCAGAAGUCAGGGCGUGGAUGCAAUGGAGGGGAAGUCAGUUCAGGCUGACUGCAGGAGACUGGGAGUGCGGACCUGCGAGGGGUGUGCCUGAGGUGGGGGUGUCUGCGGGCAGAAGGGCAGGGCUAGCUCAUCAGGGUCCUUACCCUGAGGCUAAUGGUAUAGAAGGGGCAGGCUUGGUGGCCCAGACAGGUCUGCUCUGCCUUGAACUGGCUACUGAAGAGGCCGAGACCACCAACAGCCCGAAGAACAACCCCCCCCCCUUCCCCGCCGCAAGCGCUCCUGCUCUUCUGGCUCUGGACUCUCAGCCUCCUGCAAGUUAGAGCGACUGGUGAUCAGGGUCGACUCAGGAUCCAGGUAUCGGCGAGCCAG